GCGGAUACAGCUUAGUGGCAGAGUGCAUGCUUAGCAUGUACAAGGUCCUGGGUUCAAUCCCCAGUACCUCCA
rfam:Camelus ferus unplaced genomic scaffold scaffold775, whole genome shotgun sequence.